rnacentral:hammerhead_ribozyme from 1 species
AUGCAGUUGACGAGUCCCAAAUAGGACGAAAUGACAAUCCUGGAU